rnacentral:rRNA from 1 species
ACGUAGGGGGCAAGCGUUGUCCGGAAUUACUGGGCGUAAAGGGUGCGUAGGCGGUUUGGUAAGUUAGAUGUGAAAUCCCCGGGCUUAACUCGGGAGUUGCAUUUAAAACUGCUGAACUAGAGUGCAGGAGAGGAAAGCGGAAUUCCUAGUGGAGCUGUGGACUGCGUAGGAAGUGGGAGGAACGCAAGUGGCGAGGGCGGAUAUCUGGACUUUAUCUGACGGUGAGGCACGAUAGUGUUGGGAGCGAAAAG